rnacentral:rRNA from 1 species
AGAAUUUGAUCUUGGUUCAGAUUGAAUGCUGACGGCGUGGAUGAGGCAUGCAAGUCGAACGAAUGUUACUUGUAACAUUAGUGGCGGAAGGGUUAAUAAAGUAUGAAUAACCUACCUUUUACCUAGGGAUAACAGUUGGAAACGGCUGCUAAUACCAAAUGAAGUGUUCUUAUAGCAUUAUAAGGAUAUGAAAGUUGGGGACCUUCGGGCCUAGCGGUAGAAGAGGGGUUCAUAAGAUAUCAGCUAGUUGGUAAGGUAAAAGCUUACCAAGGCUAAGACGUCUAGGCGGGCUGAGAGGCUGACCGCCAACACUGGGACUGAGACACUGCCCAGACUUCUACGGGAGGCUGCAGUCGAGAAUCAUUCGCAAUGGGCGAAAGCCUGACGAUGCGACGCCGUGUGAACGAAGAAGGCCUUUGGGUUGUAAAGUUCUUUCGUCCGGGAACAAGGGAAGUGGUUAAAUAGACUGCGGAUUUGAUAGUACCGGAUAAAGAAGCACCGGCUAACUCCGUGCCAGCAGCUGCGGUAAUACGGAGGGUGCAAGCAUUAAUCGGAAUUAUUGGGCGUAAAGAGCGCGUAGGUGGCAAAGGAAGUCUUAGUUGAAAUUACAAAGCUUAACUUUGUAGCUGGCUAAGAAACUCUUUAGCUAGAGGGAUGACGGAGAAAACGGAAUUUCACGUGUAGCGGUGAAAUGCGUAGAUAUGUGAAGGAAGACCGGUGGCGAAAGCGGUUUUCUAGUUUACCCCUGACACUGAGGCGCGAAAGCAAGGGGAGCAAACAGGAUUAGAUACCCUGGUAGUCCUUGCAGUAAACGAUGUAUACUUGAUGUAGUUAGAAUCAACCCUAACUGUGUCGAAGCUAACGUGAUAAGUAUACCGCCUGAGGAGUACGCUCGCAAGGGUGAAACUCAAAAGAAUUGACGGGACCCGCACAAGCAGUGGGGCAUGUGGUUUAAUUCGAUGCAACGCGAAGAACCUUACCCAGGCUUGACAUGCAGAGGAAGUUAUGAGAAAUUAUAACGCUCUUCGGAGUCUCUGUGCAGGUGCUGCAUGGCUGUCGUCAGCUCGUGCCGUGAGGUGUUGGGUUAAGUCCCGCAACGAGCGCAACCCUUAUCGUUAGUUGCCAGCAAGUUAAGUUGGGGACUCUAGCGAGACUGCCCGGGUUAACCGGGAGGAAGGUGAGGAUGACGUCAAGUCAGCAUGGCCCUUAUGCCUGGGGCUACACACGUGCUACAAUGGUAGGUACAGAAGGCAGCGAAGCCGAGAGGUGGAGCAAAUCCUAGAAAACCUAUCCCAGUUCGGAUUGUAGUCUGCAACUCGACUACAUGAAGUUGGAAUUGCUAGUAAUGGCGUGUCAGCAAUAACGCCGUGAAUACGUUCCCGGGUCUUGUACACACCGCCCGUCACAUCAUGGGAGUUGGUUUUGCCCGAAGUCACUGACUUAACCGCAAGGGAAGAGGUGCCUAAGGUAAAGCCGAUGACUGGGAUGAAGUCGUAACAAGGUA